GUCGGGGUACUCCACCUCCACUUCAUGGUGGAGCAGUACCAUAUCCUGAAUCGUGGGAACAAAACAAACAUUUAGCUCGUCAUGGUCCAAAAGGAGUAAUACCGCAAAGAGCUCGGGAAGUUUCUCCGCGUCAACGAAGAUCCGGUGAAUGCAAAUACAAUUGGACAAAUUCCAGAUGGGAGUCCGUAUGUUGCGAUCUCUUCACCAAUGGCGAUGACUGCAGCCUUCG